CAGUAGCCGCGGUAAUACAGAGGGUGCGAGCGUUAAUCGGAUUUACUGGGCGUAAAGCGCGCGUAGGUGGUUCAUUAAGUUGGAUGUGAAAGCCCUGGGCUCAACCUGGGAACUGCAUCCAAAACUGGUGAGCUAGAGUACGGUAGAGGGUAGUGGAAUUUCCUGUGUAGCGGUGAAAUGCGUAGAUAUAGGAAGGAACAUCAGUGGCGAAGGCGACCACCUGGACUGAUACUGACACUGAGGUGCGAAAGCGUGGGGAGCAAACAGGAUUAGAUACCCCAGUAGUCCCUGUCUCUUAUAC
rnacentral:rRNA from 1 species